GCUCAGAACGAACGCUGGCGGCAUGGAUUAGGCAUGCAAGUUGAACGAACCACUUCGGUGGAGAGUAGCGGAAGGGUGAGGAACGCGUGAGUAAUCUGCCCCCAAGUUGGGAAUAACAGCUGGAAACGGCUGCUAAUACCGAAUGUGGCUUUACCUCUGCAUGGAGGUUUGGCUAAAGAUUUAUCGCUUGGGGAUGAGCUCGCGUCCCAUUAGGUAGUUGGUGAGGUAACGGCCCACCAAGCCGAUGAUGGGUAGCUGGUCUGAGAGGAUGGUCAGCCACACUGGGACUGAGACACUGCCCAGACUCCUACGGGAGGCUGCAGUCGAGAAUCUUGGGCAAUGCGCGAAAGCGUGACCCAGCAAUGCCGCGUGUGUGAUGAAGGUCUUCGGAUUGUAAAACACUGUCUCCCGUGACGAUAAUGACGGUAGCGGGGAAGGAAGCCACGGCUAACUACGUGCCAGCAGCCGCGGUAAUACGUAGGUGGCGAGCGUUGUUCGGAUUUAUUGGGCGUAAAGGGUCUGUAGGAGGUUUGUUAAAUACGGGGUGAAAUCCGGGAGCUCAACUCCCGAACUGCCCUGUAGACUGACAGACUAGAGUACCGGAGAGGUAAGCGGAAUACCAAGUGUAGCGGUGGAAUGCGUAGAUAUUUGGUAGAACACCAACAGCGAAGGCAGCUUACUGGCCGGCAACUGACUCUGAAAGACGAAAGCAUGGGGAGCAAACAGGAUUAGAUACCCUGGUAGUCCAUGCCGUAAACGUUGUCAACUUGAUGUGGGUGGAUUUAGUCCUAUCCGUAUCGAAGCCAACGCGAUAAGUUGACCGCCUGGGGACUACGGCCGCAAGGCUAAAACUCAAAGGAAUUGACGGGGGCCCGCACAAGCGGUGGAGCAUGUGGCUUAAUUCGAGGCAACGCGAAGAACCUUACCUGGGCUUGAAAUAUACCGGACAGUCUGUGAAAGCAGAUCUUCCUUCGGGACUGGUAUACAGGUGCUGCAUGGCUGUCGUCAGCUCGUGCCGUG
rnacentral:rRNA from 1 species